GGAGUGGUAUCGAAGUGGUCAUAACGGGGCUGACUCGAAAUCAGUUUGCGGGCAACCGCACGAGGGUUCGAAUCCCUCCCACUCCG
rnacentral:tRNA from 1 species